CCGUCUAGAAAAGUAGAGGGAGGUGGGAUAGGGGUCCUGAGGGGGUGUAGGAGUCCGGUCCGAUGGCAAGUAAAGUGGUCCAGUCUCCGGCAGAGGUCUCCAGCCCGCCAGGAACGCGUUUCCCUGCUUAUCCUAGGAAAGGGAGGAUUGGAGGGAGGCACGCAGAAGGCUGAGAUACGGAGCUUCAGUUCCUUCCUUGUGGUUGGGUUCGGAGAUUGCCGAGAGAUGGGUAGAACCGGGAGAGAAGGCGUCGAUCCAGGCAGGAGCGGAGGGUGAGGAAGAGGCCAGGAUGAGACGCCUACUGGGGACACCCAAGCCGGUGCUCAUCCGGGUUGGUUCUGACCUUACCGUUCCCCUGGAUGCCUCCAGAGCACAAAGUCAUCAUCGUGGGACUGGACAAUGCAGGAAAGACCACCAUUCUCUACCAGUUUCUGACCAACGAGGUUGUUCAUACCUGUUCCACCAUUGGUAGCAACGUGGAAGAAAUUGUUUUUCAGAGGACCCACUUCCUCAUGUGGGACCUAGGAGGUCAGGAGGCACUGCGCUCCACCUGGGAGACAUACUACUCGAAUGCUGAGGUAAGGGGGGAACCAGAUCUGGGAGGUCAAAGAGGUGGCUGGGCAUUAGCCUGUUAGUCACCUGCCGUUUCUCUGAGCCUUCGGCCACCUGG
rnacentral:lncRNA from 1 species